CCAUAGCUCAGUGGUAAAGCACCUGCCAGUGUACACAGAAGGCCCCAAGUUCAAUUAUUGGUAAAAAGG